AGCUCCAAUAGCGUAUAUUAAAGUUGUUGCAGUUAAAACGCCCGUAGUCGAACUUUGGGUGAGGGAACAUGGUCAGCCAAUUGGUUUGUACUGUGAUGACCGAACCUUUUUUCUGGGUUUCAACUUUUGUUGAAUUUCCAGGAGUUUACUUUGAAGAAAUUAGAGUGUUUAAGGCAGGCAUUUGCUUGAAUACGUUAGCAUGGAAUAAUAAAAUAUGACAUUGGUCUUAUUUUGUUGGUUUUAAAGACCAAAGUAAUGAUUAAUAGGGAUAGUUGGGGGCAUUAGUACUCAGAGGCUAGAGGUGAAAUUCUUGGAUUCUCUGAAGACUAACUACUGCGAAAGCAUUUGCCAAGGAUGUUUUCAUUG
rnacentral:rRNA from 1 species